GGGUCAGUAGGUUGGUCGUGCCACCGGUACGUACUGGUCUCACUGAUUCCUUCUUCCUGAAGAACCGUAAUGCCACUAAUUUGGUGUUGCGGGGAAACAGGACUGUUACUUUGAAAAAAUUAGAGUGUUUAAAGCAAGCUAACGCUUGAAUACAUUAGCAUGGAAUAAUGAAAUAGGACGAUCGAUCCUAUUUUGUUGGUUUCUAGGAUUGACGUA
rnacentral:rRNA from 1 species